rnacentral:rRNA from 1 species
UACGUAGGGUGCAAGCGUUGCCCGGAUUUACUGGGCGUAAAGGGCUCGUAGGCGGCCAACUAAGUCAUACGUGAAAUCCCUCGGCUUAACCGGGGAACUGCGUCUGAUACUGGAUGGCUUGAGUUCGGGAGAGGGAUGCGGAAUUCCAGGUGUAGCGGUGAAAUGCGUAGAUAUCUGGAGGAACACCGGUGGCGAAGGCGGCAUCCUGGACCGAUACUGACGCUGAGGAGCGAAAGCCAGGGGAGCAAACGGG